rnacentral:rRNA from 1 species
UGGCGGACGGGUGAGUAAUGUCUGGGAAACUGCCUGAUGGAGGGGGAUAACUACUGGAAACGGUAGCUAAUACCGCAUAACGUCGCAAGACCAAAGAGGGGGACCUUCGGGCCUCUUGCCAUCGGAUGUGCCCAGAUGGGAUUAGCUAGUAGGUGGGGUAACGGCUCACCUAGGCGACAAUCCCUAGCUGGUCUGAGAGGAUGACCAGCCACACUGGAACUGAGACACGGUCCAGACUCCUACGGGAGGCAGCAUG